rnacentral:misc_RNA from 1 species
GUUUUUCCUUUUCCGGCAACAUUUUAGUCACAUGAUUCGCAGCGGCCGGCGGCGUCAGUCUCUCAGCGGAGUCAGUGUCUGUUAAAGGUUGCGCGAUGACAUUAUGCCUGAGGGCGUGUCCACGGGUUCUGCCACGCCCCUCCCGGUGACUUGCUCCUCCCUCAAGCCUUUGUGUCCCGCCCUCCCUUGAGCUACUCUGCCUUGCUGUCUUUCAACUCAA